rnacentral:rRNA from 1 species
AGUUGAUCCUGGCUUAGGAUGAACGCUAGCUACAGGCUUAACACAUGCAAGUCGAGGGCAGCAUGGGAUUAGCUUGCUAAUCCUGAUGGCGACCGGCGCACGGGUGAGUAACGCGUAUCCAACUUCCCCCUGCUCAGGGAUAGCCCGGUGAAAACCGGAUUAAUACCUGAUGGUUUCAUUUGACGGCAUCAGAUGAUGAAUAAGAAAUUCGGCAGGGGAUGGGGAUGCGUCUGAUUAGCUUGUUGGCGGGUAACGGCCACCAAGGCAACGAUCAGUAGGGGUUCUGAGAGGAAGGUCCCCCACAUUGGAACUGAGACACGGUCCAAACUCCUACGGGAGGCAGCAGUGAGGAAUAUUGGUCAAUGGGCGCGAGCCUGAACCAGCCAAGUAGCGUGCAAGGAUGACGGCCCUAUGGGUUGUAAACUGCUUUUGUGCGGGAAUAAAGUCAGGGACGUGUCCCUGUUUGCAUGUACCGCAAGAAUAAGGACCGGCUAAUUCCGUGCCAGCAGCGGC